AGCGAACGCUGGCGGCAGGCCUAACACAUGCAAGUCGAACGAAGUCUUCGGACUUAGUGGCGGACGGGUGAGUAACACGUGGGAACGUGCCUUUAGGUUCGGAAUAACUCAGGGAAACUUGUGCUAAUACCGAAUGUGCCCUUCGGGGGAAAGAUUUAUCGCCUUUAGAGCGGCCCGCGUCUGGUUAGCUAGUUGGUGAGGUAAAGGCUCACCAAGGCUACGAUCAGUAGCUGGUCUGAGAGGAUGACCAGCCACAUUGGGACUGAGACACGGCCCAAACUCCUACGGGAGGCAGCAGUGGGGAAUCUUGCGCAAUGGGCGAAAGCCUGACGCAGCCAUGCCGCGUGGAUGAUGAAGGUCUUAGGAUUGUAAAAUCCUUUCACCGGUGGAGAUAAUGACUGUAGCCGGAGAAGAAGCCCCGGCUAACUUCGUGCCAGCCGCCGCGGUAAAAC
rnacentral:rRNA from 1 species